AAUAAACCCUGUUUUCACAUCCAACGUUUGACCGUCCGUCUUAUUUAAAAAAAUUAUAAAAAAAUUUAAAAAGAUAAGUCACGCAUAAAAUAUUAAUCAAUAUUUUAUCAUCUAACAACAAUAAAAAUACUAUUAUAAAAAAUUUUAUAUAAGAUAGACAGUCAAAUGUUGGCACGAGAACCUACUGUUUGUUUUUUU
rfam:Oryza glaberrima chromosome 8 Oglab08_0178_12, whole genome shotgun sequence.